UCCCUCAAAUAUUUGAGCAGUGAAUAAUGAAGCUUCGAACACUUGUUUGUUUCUCUCAAUUUGGUCCUUUACCUGAAACAGAAAAAUAUACAGGACUCAUAGGUAUGAUUAUAGAUGAAGAUUGCCUAACCCGUGUGUAUUUCCAUUGGAUUAAUGUAACCUUAGGGUUGGAAUUUAAGAGUAUUCCAUUUUGCCGUGCAGGUCGUGACUCAUCAUUUGGCACGAGUUAGGGNNNNNNNNNNNNNNNNNNNNNNNNNNNNNNNNNNNNNNNNNNNNNNNNNNNNNNNNNNNNNNNNNNNNNNNNNNNNNNNNNNNNNNNNNNNNNNNNNNNNNNNNNNNNNNNNNNNNNNNNNCAUUAGUAAAAUUGUAUCAAUUCAAAGAAAAAAUUUAACAUAUAGAUACCUGACCGUGGCCAUUCCCUUAGAAGUAAUAUCUCUUUAAAUGGACAGCAUUCCAAUGUGAAGGUAAAACUUUGCCGUCCAUUAUCUCCAACUCGUAUGCUCCUUUUCCUGCAAUGUCACGGAUUCUAUAAGGUCCUUCCCACGUUGGACUUAGCUUUCCAGAGUUAGCAGCCUUUGUAGAUUGGAACACUUUUUUGAGCACAAAGUCCCCAAUUUUGAAGAACCUGAGACGUGCUUUCCUAUUAUAAUAUCGUUCAAUUACUUGCUUUUGAGCUGCCAUCCUUAUUAAUGCAGCUGUUCUUCUUCCUUCGAGCAAAUCAAGGUUCACCCGUAACUCUUCAUUGUUAAAGUCUUUCAUUGUUUGAACGUACCGCGUGCUUGGUUCCCCUAUUUCAACUGGUAUUAAGGCCUCUGCUCCAUAAACCAUUGAAAAUGGCACUUCUCCUUUGCUUGUUUUCGUCAUUGUUUAAUACACCCAUAAUACCACAGGUAACACUUUAGGCCAAUUACCUUUUGAAUCUUGUAAUAUUUUCUUUAAAUGAUUGAUUAUGACCUUGUUUGUGGAUUCUGUUUGUCCAUUGCCUACCGGAUGGUAUGAUGUUGAUGUUAUCCUUUUAAUCUGCCAACUUUGAAAGAAUUUCGUGAUUUGUGCUCCUAUGAAUUGUGGACCAUUAUCACAUACGAUUUUCUUUGGUACCCCAAAGCAGCAUAUGAUAUUUCUCCAAAUAAAAUCUUUAACCUCUUUCUCUCGUACCAGUUUGAAUGCCCCUGCUUCUACCCAUUUAGUGAAAUAAUCAGUAAGUAUGAGUAGAAACUUUACCUGACCUUUUGCUUGUGGUAAUGGACAUACGAUGUUUAAUGAAAUAAUCAGUAAGUACAAGUAGAAACUUUACUGACCUUUUGCUUGUGGUAAUGGACCUACGAUGUCCAUUCCUCAUUUCAUGAAGGGCUACAGAGAUAUAACAGGGUGUAAUAAUUCGGCUGGUUUAUGCAUAUUGUUACCGUAUCUUUGACAUUUAUCACACUUAGACACGAAAUCAUUUGCUUCCUCUUCCAUCUUAGGCCAAUAAUAUCCUGCUCGAAUCAAUAUUUUUACUAGUGACCUGUCCCCUGCAUGAUUUCCACAAUGUCCAUCAUGUAUUUCUCUUAUUACAUACUCUGUUUAGGAAGGUCCGAGACACCUUGCUAAUGGUCCACCAAAUAUUUUUUGGUUAAGGUUUCCUUGAUAUAAGCAAUAACGAGCAGCUUUCUUACGAAGUGCAUAAGCCUUUGUUUUAUCAUCAGGAACGAUUCCAUGCUGCAGAAAAGCAACUAUUUCGUUUCUCCAAUCCCAUGUUAAGUGAUUAAAAUUUACCUCAUUCUUGUCAGGUUCGACAAAGGAAUGGAAUAAAUGUUUGAUUUAAGCAUUCACAUCAUUUGCUAUGUCCGCCGCAGAUGCAAGAUUAGAUAAGGCAUCUUCCUCCGCGUUUUCCUCUCUUGGGAUUUGCAUUACCUUCCAAGUUUGGAACUGCUUUAUCAGUUCACCUUUUCGAGAUAUUCUUGCAUUCGCAUUUCCCUGGCUAUAUAAGUCCUCAGCAUUUGAUUCACCACGAGUUUGGAAUCACUUUUUAUUAUGAUUUGUGUGAUGCCAAGUUCCAGUGCCAAUUCUAAACCUGCAAUUACAGCUUCAUACUCUGCUUCAUUGUUAGUUACAGGGUGACAUUUAAUAGUCUAUCUAAUGGUCUCACCCGUAGGUGGUUUAAGAACAAUUCCUAAACCUUCUCCCUUUACAUUUGAUGAACCAUCAGUACACAAAAUCCAAGUCCCUGAAUUUGCUCCAUUAAAAACUUGUAAUUCCUUUUCUGCUUCUAAAUGCAUCCCUUGACUAAAAUCUGCUAUGAAAUCAGCGAGAACUUGGGAUUUUAUAGCAGUCCUAGGCUGAUAAAUAAUUUCAUAUUCACUUAGUUCUAUAACCCAUUUUUCUAAUCUUCCUGACAAUUCAUGUUUAUGCAAAAUGAUUCGUAAUGGAAAAGAAGUAACUACGACAAUUGGAUGAUAUUGAAAAUAAGGUUUUAAUUUCCUAGAUUCCAUGAUCAAAGCUAGUGAUAAUUUUUCUAGUUGUGGAUAUCGCGUCUCAGCAUCUAACAAAAAUUUGCUCACAUAAUAAAUAAGAGAUUGUUUACCUUAGUCCUCUCGUACCAAAACAGCACUUACCGCGACUUCUGAUACUCCCAAAUAGAUGAGUAAUGUUUUACCUUCCUUUGGUUUUGCCAACAGCGGGGUAUUUGACAAGUAGGCUUUCAUGUUCUUAAGGGCUUGAUGACAAUCUUCAUUCCAUUCAAAAUGGUCUUGCUUUUUGAGAGCAUAGAAGAACUUAAAAUAUUUUUUUCAAAUUUAGAAAUAAAUCUUCCCAAGGCUGCGAUUCUUCUCGUUAAUCUUUGUACCUCCUUCUUAUUGGUAAGGAUAUAAAGGAUCUCUUCUAUCGCUUUAAUCUGAGAAGGAUUUACCUCAAUACUAUGGUUAGAAACAAGAAAACCCAAAAACUUACCUGAGGCAACUCCAAAUGCACAUUUUUCCGGGUUGAGUUUCAUGUUAAAUUUCCGUAAAAUUUCAAAUGUAAUAGAUAAAUGAGAAAUAUGAUCGUGAAAAUUCUGGGUUUUGACGAGCAUAUCGUCUAUAUACACCUCCAUAGAUUUUCCGAAAUGUUCUUGAAAUAUUUUGGUAACCAACCUUUGAUAGGUUGCUCCAGCAUUUUUGAGACCAAAGGGCAUUACUUUAUAACAGUAAGUCCCCCUGUCUGUGAUGAAAGAAGUUUUUCCUCGUCAUCAGGAUCCAUUUUAAUUUGAUUAUAUCCUGAAUAUGCAUCUAAAAAGCUUAAAAGUUAAUGACCUGCAGUUACGUCAAUUAAUUUAUCUAUAUGCGGUAAAGGAAAAGAGUCUUUUGGGCAAGCUUUAUUUAGAUAAGUAUAAUCCACACAAACGCGCCACUUACCAUUUUUCUUAGGUACGACGACAGUCUAAGCUAACCAAUUAUGAUACUUUACCUCGCGGAUCGACCCAAUUUUAAUUAUUUUUGGACCUCAUCUUGAAUCACCCGGUUCUUGAAAGCUCCUUCCUUCCUUUUCUUUUGCUUUACUGGUGUGAAAGAUGGGUCCUCGUUGAAUUUGUGAGUCAUCACAUCCGGUGGUAUUCAUCACAUCCGGUGGUAUACCUGUCAUAUCAGCAUGGGACCAAGCAAAACAGUCUACGUUGGUUUUUAAAAACUCAAUUACCAUACCUCGCAUGUCAGGAUUUAGGUUAGCUCCUACAUAAACCUUUCGUCCAUGCCACUUUUCAAAUAGUACACAGCCUCGAGCUCCUCUAUUGUUGUUUUAAUGUUCUCAUUUUCUUCAGGUCCUUGAAUCACAUCGGGUCUCGAGUCUAAAUAUGUUUUUUCUUGUUCAAUUGACAUUUUAUUGUCAACACCCUCAACUAUUUUCUGUAAUUGCUAUUUUUCUUUACUUAAGGCAUUAAUAUCUAUCACAUCGUUGAUUCUUCUGGCUAUUUGUUGAUCCCCUCGAAUUUGAUAGAUUCCUCAUGGUGACGGAAACUUAAUAACUUGAUGCAGAGUUUAUGGAACAACAUCCAUAUCAUGGAUCCAUGGUCUUCCCAUGAUUAUAUUGUAGACCAUCUCCAUAUCAACUACCUGGAAUUUAGUUUCUUUGACAACAUCUGCAGCAAAAGUUGUUAUAAUUACCUUUCCUUUUGUUACCACACUUGAAUUGUCGAAGCCUGACAUGGUAUGCGCCUUAAGUAUCAUUUUAUCUUCAGCUUGCAUUUCUCGUAGCACCCUUAAUAGGAUGAUAUUUGCAGAACUCCCUGGGUCAAUCAAAACACAUUUUAUAUUAGUGUCAUGUACAAGUAAAGAUAUUACCAGUGCAUCAUUAUGAGGAGUAAUCACUCCUUCUGUAUCUGUAUCAUCAAAAUUUAUACUUUCGUGCUUUAGGGUCUGCCGCACUAGCUUCCCGUGUGUGAUUGUUACAUUGGAAACCUUAUUUGAAGUUCUAUACGUAACUCCAUAAAUAUCUUCUCCUCUAAUAACGUUAACAGUUCUCUUAGGGGAUGGUGGUUUUGGUGGCUCCUGCCUAUUUUUCAUAUAAGCUUAUUUUCCCUUCUCACUAAAUAACUCAGUAAGAUAUCUUUGCUUCAAUAGAUGGUCCACUUCACUUUGUAGGAAUCUGCAUUCUAAUGUUUUAUGCCCGUGAUCGUUGUGGAAUUCACACCAAUGGUCCGAAUGUUUGGAUUUGACCGCAUAUCUUUUGGCCGCCGUACCUUAUCUCCCAUACCCCUUAGAACAGCUACGAGCUCAGAAUUAGUUACGUUAAAAUUAUAACCACCGAAUCGUGCCAUUAAAUUUUUAUCAUCGUCUCGUGGCUCUUGAUUGUUUUGAUCACCUCUGAACCUGGAUGAAGAUCCGGUCUCCCUGUUUCUUGGCCUUUGAUCAUAUCGUUGGUUAUCCUAUUUUGAUCAUGAAUCUUUUUCUGCAGGUCCCAUAUAUGGACCAUAUCUAUUUUUACCUGAUCGUUUUUCAGCCUCUGACCUCCUGGAUCCGCUCCAUUCUUCACGAUCGUACUAAGGUACGGUAUCCUCUUCAAUUCUGAGCUUUAUAUGGACCAUAUCUAUUUUUACUUGAUCUUUUUUCAGCCUCUGACCUCCUGGAUCCGUUCCUUCUUCACGAUGGUACUGAGGUACGGUAUCCCCUUCAAUUCUAAGCUUUGUACUGUACCUGUUAGGAACAUCAUUCCAAGUGGUUCCAGGAAAUCCAUGGAGGCUUUCCUUAAGCCUUCUCACGGCUUCUGAACUUUUGUCAUUCAAAUUGCUUGCAAAAGCUAUCGCUUCCCAAUUGUCUGGAACACGGGGUAGAGUCAUUCUUUUACGUUUGAAUCUAUCAACAAAAUCCCUGAGCAGUUCAGAGUUCCCUUGCUUGAUUUUGAAAAUAUCCUCCAUUCUUUUCUCGACCUUUUGAGCUCCCGAGUGUGCUUUUAUAAAAUAAUCUGCAAGCUCCGCAAAAGAGUUUAUAGAGUUUUCAAGUAAAAGAGAAUACCAGGAUAAUGCACCCUUGGUGAAGGUUUCUCUAAAUUUUUGGACCAGUACUGAUUCAAUUUCUUGUUUGGCCAAGUCGUUGCCCUUCACACCUAUUGUAAAUGUAGUUCUGUGGUCACAUGGGUCUAUUGUAUCAUCAUAUUUCGGGAUGUUUGGCAUUUUGAACUUUUUCGAAAUUGGAAGAGGAGCAGUACUUGGCUUCCAAGGUUGUUGUGAGUAUUUGUAUGUCCACGUCUACUCCUUUUAUUACAGGCGGAACUCCAGGGAUUUGCUCGAUACGCUCAUAUUUGCUCCUUGAGCUGUUUCUCAAAGGUUAGUACUAAAUUUUAAAGAUGACAAUUACUGAGUUACCUGGUUCUCCUUCUUGUGAAUCACUAGGGGUUGCUCCAUUACCAGAAUUAACUAGACCAGAGCGGGAGUUUUCCAAUGUGUUAUUAUUCGGCAUUGUUGGAACAACAGGCAAUCGACUGACUAAAGCUUCCAAAGCUUUGUCAAUUCGUGCAUCAAUUAUUUUUUGUAGAAGCUCAUAUCUUGUUUCAACUCCUCCAUCAGCAUGUUCAGACAUAUCAUUAGGAGUUCCUUCUCGAGAUCCUAAACCAAGGCAGGAGUUUUCCAACGUGUUGUUAUUCGGUGUUGUUGGCGCAGCAGGCAAUCGACUAACUAAAGCUUCCAAUGCUUUGUCAAUUCGUGAAUCAAUUAUUUUUUGUAGAAGCUCAUCUCUUGUUUCAACUCCUCCAUCAGCAUGUUCAGACAUAUCAUUAGGAGUUAUUUCUCGAGAUCCACGUGGAGAAGCUUGAGGAAGAGCAUCAUUGAGUUCAUCUCCCACCACUUGAUGGAUCUGAUUUUCUUGAUUGUUGUUGUCGUUUUUGUUUGACAUAAUGUUAACAAUGGAUAGAGUGUAAUUUGAGAAAGAAUAUAUUAUCAGAUUCCCGGUAACGGAACCAAUUUGUUUAACCAGAAAAUAAUAUUUUAGUCAAAGCUAGAAUUUAAGAUGAAAAAUCGGGUUACUGAUAAUCAAGAGACCAAAAAAUAAUAAUAAACUUAUUGAGAAUAAGAAUAAAGCAGUAAAGAAUUUGUAUUUCAGUAUGAUAUCAAUGAGCUUUUCGUGUCCUUACAAAUAAUGAGACUUCUUCCUUUUAUAGUUGAUUCUAGAUAAAGGAAUGAAACUUAGGCUUCAAUGAGACAAUUAUGAGUAAUAAAUAACAUUCAAUAAGACGUUACAUAAUCAUUCCUAUUAAAUACCAAUUUUCCGACGUAUCAGGUAUUUAAUACUGAAUUUGGACUACUUUUUGUCAUAAGAUCCAUGUCUUCAAUGCAUUGUAAUCUGCUGACUUUAAAUGACUUGAAUUGGUACGAGACUCGUGUCUGAAUUACUUCUCAUGUCUGUUUAACUUUCUUUUCUCGUAUCUGUCGCCACUCGUGCCUUUUAUUCAAUUGUUACGUUUUGACUUCUUGACUAGUCCAUGUAUCAUGCCACAACAUCUUUAACAUAAAUUUUGGUUUUUUUCCAAUACACUGCUGACCUUGUAUUUUAUGACCUAAAACCAUCAAAAUAACAAACCUUUUUACAAGGUCAUUUUAGAUUGAAACUAGUUUAACAAAAAAGAGAUAGGGAGGCUACCACAAUCAUGUAUUUGCUGCACUUUUAACUUCUGCCGUCUAUAAAAAAAAUGAAUUAAAAUAAAUGUAAACUAUUGUAUGAGGCUAGGGUUGUCCAGCAUCAGUUAUCACAUUGUACAUAUUGAUACAGGUAAAUAAAAUCAUUUAAUUACCAACAAAAAAAUGUAAACUACUAUACAUAAUAUAAACUCAAGAACAUGAUAUUAAGGAACUAAAUUCAAAUCUCUAACACCAAUAAUACAAAGAAGCAGAACUCUCAGAUCUUGUAAUUUCUAUUUGAAAGCUGGAAAAAUAAAUUACCUGAAACAGGGGAUUGGCGAAGAGGAGACUAAGUAGUGGCCAACGGAGUAACAGUGAAGGUUGGCGGAUCAGCGGCAGUCGGAACUCGGAAUAGAAUAAGAGCGGCAAUAGUCGGACUCGGAUGAGCAGCGGUAGUCGCCAGUCAGAACUCAGAAGUCAGAAGUGAAGUGAAUCCUAAAAUAAAAAAUCGAAUGUGAUGAAAUUAGGG
rnacentral:lncRNA from 1 species